rnacentral:rRNA from 1 species
GUACACUCCUGCGGGAGGCAGCAGUGGGGAAUAUUGCACAAUGGGCGCAAGCCUGAUGCAGCCAUGCCGCGUGUAUGAAGAAGGCCUUCGGGUUGUAAAGUACUUUCAGCGGGGAGGAAGGUGUUGAGGUUAAUAACCUCAGCAAUUGACGUUACCCGCAGAAGAAGCACCGGCUAACUCCGUGCCAGCAGCCGCGGUAAUACGGAGGGUGCAAGCGUUAAUCGGAAUUACUGGGCGUAAAGCGCACGCAGGCGGUCUGUCAAGUCGGAUGUGAAAUCCCCGGGCUCAACCUGGGAACUGCAUUCGAAACUGGCAGGCUAGAGUCUUGUAGAGGGGGGUAGAAUUCCAGGUGUAGCGGUGAAAUGCGUAGAGAUCUGGAGGAAUACCGGUGGCGAAGGCGGCCCCCUGGACAAAGACUGACGCUCAGGUGCGAAAGCGUGGGGAGCAAACAGGAUUAGAAACCCCUGUAGUCC